UACGGGAGGCAGCAGGGGGGAAUAUUGCACAAUGGGCGAAAGCCUGAUGCAGCUAUGCCGCGUGUAUGAAGAAGGCCUUAGGGUUGUAAAGUACUUUCAUCGGGGAGGAAAAAACAAAACUAAUAAUUUUAUUUCUUGACGUUACCCGAAAAAGAAGCACCGGCUAACUCCGUGCCAGCAGCCGCGGUAAUACGGAGGGUGCUAGCGUUAAUCAGAAUUACUGGGCGUAAAGAGCACGUAGGUGGUUUUUUUAAAGUCAGAUGUGAAAUCCCUGGGCUUUAACCUAGGAACUGCAUUUUGAAACUGAAAUACUAGAGUAUCGUAGAGGGAGGUAGAAUUCUAGGUGUAGCGGUGAAAUGCGUAGAUAUCUGGAGGAAUACCUGUGGCGAAAGCGGCCUCCUAAACGAAUACUGACACUGAGGGUGCGAAAGCGUGGGGAGCAAACAGGGAUUAGAUACC
rnacentral:rRNA from 1 species